AUUGAACGCUGGCGGCGUGCCUAACACAUGCAAGUCGAGCGGCAGCGCGGGAGCAAUCCUGGCGGCGAGCGGCGGACGGGUGAGUAACGCUUGGGAAUCUGCCUGUUAGUGGGGGACAACCCGGGGAAACGUCGGGCGUAAUACCGCAUACGCACUACGGUGGAAAGCCGGGGACCGCAAGGCCUGGCGCUAACAGAUGAGCCCAAGUCGGAUUAGCUAGUUGGUAGGGUAACGGCCUACCAAGGCGACGAUCCGUAACUGGUCUGAGAGGACGACCAGUCACACCGGAACUGAGACACGGUCCGGACUCCUACGGGAGGCAGCAGUGGGGAAUAUUGCGCAAUGGCCGCAAGGCUGACGCAGCAACGCCGCGUGGGGGAUGAAGGUUUUUCGGAUCGUAAACCCCUGUCGAGAGGGAAGAAAGGCCGAAACGCGAAUACCGUUUU
rnacentral:rRNA from 1 species